CGGAAAGGCACCACCAGGCGUGGAGCCUGCGGCUUAAUUUGACUCAACACGGGCCAUCUCACCAGGCCAGCACUCUUGUACGAUUGACAGAUUGAGAGCUCUUUCUCGAUUCAGUGGAUGGUGGUGCAUGGCCGUUCUUAGUUGGUGGAGUGAUCUGUCUGGUUAAUUCCGAUAACGAACGAGACUCUCCCCUGCUAACUAGUCGGUUGGAUCUUGAUCAGCGGGUUGCGUGCCGAGUAACUCUCGCUGUGCGUGGUGCGUAGCUGGGCCUCACGGUUCGUUGCGUGCUCGCGUGGUGUUGGAUGCCUUGGAUCACACUGCACCCCAAGUCCGCCGCUUAUGCUAUAACUCUUCUUAGAGGGAUUCACGGCACUGAAGCCGUAAGAGACUGAGAGCAAUAACAGGUCUGUGAUGCCCUUAGAUGCUCUGGGCCGCACGCGCGCUACAAUGCCGGGCACAGCAGGUGUUUCUCCUUCUCCGACAGGAGCGGGUAACCCUCUGAAAGCCAGUGUUCUUGCAAGUGCUUCCUCCCUCGUGGAGUUGCACAGAGGCGUGCUUGGGCCUGGGACUUGCAAUUCUUUCCCACCAACGAGGAAUGCCUAGUA
rnacentral:rRNA from 1 species